rnacentral:misc_RNA from 1 species
UUACCUCUUGGAUGAAUUUUUACCCUUCACUUUCCUUCACUUUCUCCUCUUCUAAUGGCUGCCCAAGUUUAGCUCUAGUGGUAAGGGAAAUUUUUUGUGAAGAGAGGGUGAGGUUUUGGUGUAGUUGGCUAGGGAAUCAAGCUCAUUUGGAGCUUUAAUGGUGGUCUUCCUCUUUUUGUUUUCUUUGGUGCGGGAAUGAAAUGAAGGAGCUGCUGGAAUUGUUUCAUUUUUAUCUCUUGUUAUUUCAUUUUUUUUUCUUUAGUUAAUUAGUUAAAUGGUGAUUGGUGGAUAGGUUCUUAAUGACAUCAUAUGAUGUCAUA